GAGCUUGCUCUUAUGAAGUUAGCGGCGGACGGGUGAGUAACACGUGGGUAACCUGCCCAUAAGACUGGGAUAACUCCGGGAAACCGGGGCUAAUACCGGAUAACAUUUUGAACCGCAUGGUUCGAAAUUGAAAGGCGGCUUCGGCUGUCACUUAUGGAUGGACCCGCGUCGCAUUAGCUAGUUGGUGAGGUAACGGCUCACCAAGGCAACGAUGCGUAGCCGACCUGAGAGGGUGAUCGGCCACACUGGGACUGAGACACGGCCCAGACUCCUACGGGAGGCAGCAGUAGGGAAUCUUCCGCAAUGGACGAAAGUCUGACGGAGCAACGCCGCGUGAGUGAUGAAGGCUUUCGGGUCGUAAAACUCUGUUGUUAGGGAAGAACAAGUGCUAGUUGAAUAAGCUGGCACCUUGACGGUACCUAACCAGAAAGCCACGGCUAACUACGUGCCAGCAGCCGCGGUAAUACGUAGGUGGCAAGCGUUAUCCGGAAUUAUUGGGCGUAAAGCGCGC
rnacentral:rRNA from 1 species